rnacentral:rRNA from 1 species
GACGAACGCUGGUGGCGUGCCUAACACAUGCAAGUCGAGCGGAGUCAGUAAGAGGAAGUUUUCGGAUGGAAUCUUAUUGAUUUAGCGGCGGACGGGUGAGUAACGCGUGAGCGACCAACCUUGCACAGGGGGAUAACGGACCGAAAGGUUCACUAAUACCGCAUGAGACCACGGGGUUGCAUGACACAGGGGUCAAAGGAGCAAUCCGGUGCAAGACGGGCUCGCGUCCGAUUAGGUAGUUGGAGGGGUAACGGCCCACCAAGCCUAUGAUCGGUAGCCGACCUGAGAGGGUGAUCGGCCACAUUGAAACUGAGAUACGGUCCAAACUCCUACGGGAGGCAGCAGUGGGGAAUAUUGGGCAAUGGGGGAAACCCUGACCCAGCAACGCCGCGUGAAGGAAGAAGGUUUUCGGAUUGUAAACUUCUGUCCUUGGUGAAGCGAAGAAGACGGUAGCCAAGGAGGAAGCCCCGGCUAACUACGUGCCAGCCGCCGCGGUAA